AAAGGGAGACCUAAUUCAGGUAUGGGACGAAAAAAAAGUAGUCGCUACCAAGAAUCAAUCCCAAAAGGUCGGAGCGAGGCAUGAGGCUUUCAAACUAGGUUCUGGGUUCAUAAAAGACCUGAAUCAGGAACAAGGGCUAUUAGCUCAGGUGGUUAGAGCGCACCCCUGAUAAGGGUGAGGUCCCUGGUUCGAGUCCAGGAUGGCCCACCUGCACAGGUGGCAAAAACAAGAGAAACGAGGAAUCAGCACCUUAUCUUACUCAUAUAGUAAGAGAGAAUGCUGGCUCUGAGUAAAGAGUCCAGAGGAACCUUGAAAACUGCAUAGAGCUAGGUGAAAAAGCCAAAAAAGAAGACCGCAAG
rnacentral:tRNA from 1 species